CGUCGAGCCAGUCGACGACUUCAAGCCAACUGAAGAACCAGACGGAGAGACCAAAUUAUGCAAAACCCUAGCUACCACGAGAUCAACGAUCGUGUUGCUCUGAUACCAUAGAAGUGAGCCUAUUGCUUGUCCCAUAUUCGGCUGAUCGUGAUUUGGACCUUAUCCAGUGGCCUCCAUUUUUACUUGCUAGCAAGCUUCCCAUACUAUUGGACAUGGCUAAAGAUAGCAAUGGGAGAGACCGUGAG